CACCCUGCCGCUAGUUGCCAUCGGUUCGGCCGGGCACUCUAGCGGGACUGCCGGCGGUCAAGCCGGAGGAAGGUGGGGAUGACGUCAAGUCAUCAUGGCCCUUAUGUCCAGGGCUACACACGUGCUACAAUGGUCGGUACAAAGGGUUGCGAUCCCGCGAGGGUGAGCCAAUCCCAAAAAGCCGGCCCCAGUACAGAUAGGAGUCUGCAACUCGACUCCUUGAAGGCGGAAUCGCUAGUAAUCGCUGAUCAGCUGGCACGCGGUCGAAUACGUUCCGGCCUU
rnacentral:rRNA from 1 species